rnacentral:rRNA from 1 species
GGCAGCAGUGGGGAAUCUUGGACAAUGGGGGCAACCCUGAUCCAGCCAUGCCGCGAGAGUGAUGAAGGCCUUAGGGUCGUAAAGCUCUUUCGCCUGUGAAGAUAAUGACGGUAGCAGGUAAAGAAACCCCGGCUAACUCCGUGCCAGCAGCCGCGGUAAUACGGAGGGGGUUAGCGUUGUUCGGAAUUACUGGGCGUAAAGCGCACGUAGGCGGAUCGGAAAGUUGGGGGUGAAAUCCCGGGGCUCAACCCCGGAACUGCCUCCAAAACUAUCGGUCUAGAGUUCGAGAGAGGUGAGUGGAAUUCCGAGUGUAGAGGUGAAAUUCGUAGAUAUUCGGAGGAACACCAGUGGCGAAGGCGGCUCACUGGCUCGAUACUGACGCUGAGGUGCGAAAGUGUGGGGAGCAAACAGGAUUAGAUACCCUGGUAGUCCACACCGUAAACGAUGAAUGCCAGUCGUCGGGUAGCAUG